CAGCAGCCGCGGGAAAACGGAGGGGGCUAGCGUUGUUCGGAAUUACCGGGCGUAAAGCGCAUGUAGGCGGCUUGGUAAGUUAGAGGUGAAAGCCCGGAGCUCAACUCCGGAAUUGCCUUUAAGACUGCCGAGCUAGUAGGUGAGAGAGGUAAGUGGAAUUCCGAGUGUAGAGGUGAAAUUCGUAGAUAUUCGGAAGAACACCAGUGGCGAAGGCGACUGACUGGACAAGUAUUGACGCUGAGGUGCGAAAGCGUGGGGAGCAAACAGGAUUAGAUACCCCCGUAGUCCCUGUCUCUUAUAC
rnacentral:rRNA from 1 species